AAGAUGCUGUGCUCCUAUGGUUUCGCACACCCUUUCUUCCACCAGGAACUUCCUUCCUCUCUGCUUUUGCCUAAGAGAACCCCCAGUCAGCCCUCAGGUUCUCACUCCUAUGGGAACCAGGAGAGAGAAUAAACAGCAGCCACCUCCGUACAUUAAACAAUUCCUGGCAGCAGCACCUGUCCCCAGCCAUCCCAGCAAGAACACACACAGCCUGCCACCGGCAAAGGACACAGGGCAGACGUGCGGACUCAAGCUGUGUCC
rnacentral:lncRNA from 1 species